CUUGUGGACUGUCACAUCAAAUGAGAGUAGACUUUUUAGGAACCUAUAGAGUCAAAAUCAGGCAGGAUGAAGCAAGAA
rnacentral:sRNA from 12 species